rnacentral:rRNA from 1 species
AUUGAACGCUGGCGGCAUGCCUAACACAUGCAAGUCGAGCGGAGCGGCGGACGGGUGUGUAAUGCCUAUGAAUCUGCCUGGUCGUGGGGGUUAACGUCCGGAAACGGGCGCUAAUACCGCAUACUAUCGGAUGAGCCUAGGUCGGGUUAGCUAGUUGGUGGGUUAAUGGCCUACCAAGGAGACGAGCCGUAACUGGUCUGGGAGGAUGAUCAGUCACACUGGAACUGAGCCACGGUCCAGACUCCUACGGGAGGCAGCAGUGGGGAAUAUUGGACAAUGGGCGAAAGCCUGAUCCAGCCAGGCCGCGUGUGUGAAGAAGGUCUUCGGAUUGUAAAGCCCGUUAAGUUGGGAGGCGUUACCAACAGAAUAAGCACCGGCUAACUACGUGCCAGCCGCCGCGGUAAUUC